AUAGAACAAACCCUAGAGGGACUCAGGGUGGAGCAGCCGAGACUAGAGCUGCUCACUGCCUCCGUGCCUCGUAUCCAUCGCGCCGCCCCCAGCCCCCCCACGCCUCUGCCUUCACCUGCAUCGCGCCACCUCCGCCGUCCGCCUCCAGCGCCGGCGCCACCUCCGCCUCGGCGCCGCCUCCGCAUCCACUCUCCAGUCAGCCCACCUCCACCUUGGCACCUCCAUCCCGCCGGCAAGCAAAUCCACCAAGUCGUCGGCUUCUAAACCUAAACCUACAUGAUCUUCACCAAGUUGCUGAAAAGUGGAGGAAGAAGACUAAGAUGGGUACAUGUCAAGCCUAAAACUUAUUUACUAGUUGGCUGUUGCUACUGCUUGAUCUGUGAUGUAAUGUUAUCAACCUAUAACUUGUACUGUGGCAGUCGUGACUCGUAACUUGUGAGGUUCAGACUUGAGACCUAUCCUGUGAUAAUUUGGUGCUUGAUGUUGCCUAUUUUUUGGUAUUUUUGUGAUAUAUAUGUCUGUGAAAAAAAGUCUAAAAAGAGGGAAAAUGUUGUCAAAAUUUUUCAUUCCCCUCAAAUUUCGGUCUGACCGAGAUCGAAAAGACCGAGACCGAAUUUGCCGGUCAUAAGUUUUUUUUAUGAAAUUCGGUCCGGACUUUCCAAA